GGUGCGCUGUCUUGCCUGUGUGUGAUGGCUUGGCAGUGUAUUGUUAGCUGGUUGAGUAUGUGAGCGGCACCAGCUAACAUGCGACUGCUCUCCUAUUGCACACACAAUCACCACCAGCAUGC
rnacentral:pre_miRNA from 7 species